GAUUUUAGAUUAUUUAAAGAAAUGAUGGUACAGAAAAAUAUUGAAAUGCAGUUGCAAGCCAUUAGAAUCAUUCAAGAAAGAAAUGGUGUGCUACCUGACUGUUUGACAGAUGGUUCUGAUGUGUUCACUGAAAUUGAACAACAAGAAAUGAAAAUACUCAGAGAGGUUCUUAGGAAGUCUAAGGAAGAGUAUGAAAUGGAGCAAGAAAGGAAAAGGUCUAAAGAGG